rnacentral:rRNA from 1 species
UAGCGUAGGGGGCAAGCGUUGUCCGGAAUCAUUGGGCGUAAAGCGCGUGUAGGCGGCUCGAUAAGUCUGCUGUAAAAGUCCAGGGCUCAACCCUGGAAAGCCGGUGGAAACUGUCGAGCUAGAGUCCGGAAGAGGCGAGUGGAAUUCCUGGUGUAGCGGUGAAAUGCGCAGAUAUCAGGAGGAACACCAAUGGCGAAGGCAGCUCGCUGGGACGGUACUGACGCUGAGACGCGAAAGCGUGGGGAGCAAACAGG